CAGCCGCCGCGGGAAUACGUAGGUCCCGAGCGUUGUCCGGAUUUAUUGGGCGUAAAGCGAGCGCAGGCGGUUAGAUAAGUCUGAAGUUAAAGGCUGUGGCUUAACCAUAGUACGCUUUGGAAACUGUUUAACUUGAGUGCAAGAGGGGAGAGCGGAAUUCCAUGUGUAGCGGUGAAAUGCGUAGAUAUAUGGAGGAACACCGGUGGCGAAAGCGGCUCUCUGGCUUGUAACUGACGCUGAGGCUCGAAAGCGUGGGGAGCAAACAGGAUUAGAUACCCGCGUAGUCCCUGUCUCUUAUACA
rnacentral:rRNA from 1 species